AGAGUUUGAUCCUGGCUCAGGAUGAACGCUAGCGGCAGGCUUAAUACAUGCAAGUCGUGGGGCAGCGCAGGUAGCAAUACUGGGCGGCGACCGGCAAACGGGUGCGGAACACGUACGCAACCUUCCUUUAAGCGGGGAAUAGCCCAGGGAAACUUGGAUUAAUACCCCAUAGCAUGGUGGAGUGGCAUCACUCUGCUAUU
rnacentral:rRNA from 1 species